GGUGCCAUAGCUCAGUUGGUAGAGCAAAGGACUGAAAAUCCUUGUGUCGCUGGUUCGAACCCAGCUGGCACCA
rnacentral:tRNA from 2 species